rnacentral:rRNA from 1 species
GAUGAACGCUGGCGGCGUGCCUAAUACAUGCAAGUCGAGCGAACGGACGAGAAGCUUGCUUCUCUGAUGUUAGCGGCGGACGGGUGAGUAACACGUGGAUAACCUACCUAUAAGACUGGGAUAACUUCGGGAAACCGUAGCUAAUAACGGAUAAUAUUUUGAACCGCAUGGUUCAAAAGUGAAAGACGGUCUUGCUGUCACUUAUAGAUGGAUCCGCGCUGCAUUAGCUAGUUGGUAAGGUAACGGCUUACCAAGGCAACGAUGCAUAGCCGACCUGAGAGGGUGAUCGGCCACACUGGAACUGAGACACGGUCCAGACUCCUACGGGAGGCAGCAGUAGGGAAUCUUCCGCAAUGGGCGAAAGCCUGACGGAGCAACGCCGCGUGAGUGAUGAAGGUCUUCGGAUCGUAAAACUCUGUUAUUAGGGAAGAACAUAUGUGUAAGUAACUGUGCACAUCUUGACGUUACCUAAUCAGAAAGCCACGGCUAACUACGUG